UACGUAGGCAGCGAGCGUUGUUCGGAAUUACUGGGCGUAAAGAGUGUGUAGGCGGUGCUCCCAGUCUGUUGUGAAAUCUCCCGGCUUAACUGGGAGGGUGCAGCGGAAACUAGAGUGCUAGAGGGUGGGAGAGGUAAGCGGAAUUCCUGGUGUAGCGGUGAAAUGCGUAGAUAUCAGGAGGAACACCGGUGGCGAAGGCGGUGGGCUGGGCCGGUACUGACGCUGAGGAGCGAAAGCGUGGGGAGCGAACAGG
rnacentral:rRNA from 1 species